rnacentral:misc_RNA from 1 species
UGCAUUAUCGUUUUUAUCUUCAAUGUGUACCUUCUGGUCAAUUACCAGCAUCCAGAUGACAAGAACCAGGCGUAUUUCCCCAAAUUCGUGGUCGUCUUGGGCCUCUCCGUCGCUCUCAUUUCAAUAUUGAUGUUACCGGCCGACGUAGCUAACCGGCAGGCGUGUCGCCACGCGAUAUACAAUGGCGCUUGUAGUCUUACCUUGCCAAUGAAAGAUCUAUGGAUCGCUGUCUAUAUUAUCGAUGCUGUGCUCGUGUUCUUCGUUAUCCCCUUCGCGAUGUUCUACUAUGAAGGCGACCAGGACAAGAGUAUUGGCCAAAGGAUAAAAAGUGCAUUGUUGUGGGUGAUAACGACGGCAAUUGUUUGUGGUCUUGUACUUGGCAUUCUAUAUGGGCUAGUUGGAAAGGUGGACUUCACUGUCAUGCACCUCUCUUCAACCACAACUAACUUUCCGAGUACUUGGGACUUUUCUAGCAGUCAGCCAUGUAUUGGAAGUGGCGCACGGCAGUGCUCUGCAUAUCUUGCAAGUCCUUCCUCAGAGAAAACAUGGACUAUGCGCUCCACGUUUCCAGAAUAUGUUGUUGCUCUGGCUACAAUUGUUGGAUCUGUACUUUUUGCGAUAUUUGGAGGUGUUGGUAUUGCUUGUUUGCCAUUGGGACUUAUAUUUUCUUUCAUCCGGCGUCCGAAGGCUGUCAUCACUCGUUCACAGUAUAUUAAGGAAGCUACUGAACUUGGUAAAAAAGCAAAAGAAUUGAAGAAAGCAGCUGAUGCACUCCAUCAGGAAGAAAGAAGUGGUUCUAAGGGUAGAAAAUGGCGUAAAAAUGUGAAGGCAGUAGAGAAGGAGUUGCUUCAGUUAGAAGAAGAUGUCAAGUUGUUAGAGGAGAUGUAUCCUCAAGGAGAAAAGGCUGAGACCGCUUGGGCUUUGACUGUUCUUGGGUACCUGGCAAAACUUGUGUUGGGGAUCUUAGGGUUGAUUGUUUCAGUGGCUUGGGUUGCUCAUAUUGUUAUAUAUCUAUUGAUUGAUCCUCCUCUUUCUCCUUUUCUGAAUGAGGUUUUCAUUAAGUUGGAUGAUAUAUGGGGUCUUCUGGGUACUGUGGCGUUUGCAUUCUUCUGCUUCUACCUUCUGCUUGCAGUGAUAGCUGGGGCAAUGAUGCUGGG